rnacentral:rRNA from 1 species
UACGUAGGGGGCAAGCGUUGUCCGGAUUUACUGGGCGUAAAGAGCGCGUAGGCGGAAGCUUAAGUGUGGCCUGAAAGCCCCCGGCUCAACCGGGGAGGGCGGCUGCAAACUGGGUUUCUUGAGGGCGGCAGAGGAGAGUGGAAUUCCUGGUGUAGCGGUGAAAUGCGUAGAGAUCAGGAGGAACACCUGUGGUGUAGACGGCUUUCUGGACCAUAACUGACGCUGAGACACGAAAGCGUGGGUAGCAAACAGG